AAUCUCCAAGACACUAACUUUCAUCAAGGGGAAAAGCAGGACACUUACAGUGAAAUUUUCUAAAGGUUAUUUAUUAAAUUCAUAAGUAUUUUUUAAACACCUAUGACAUGAGGGACAUGUGCUAGUUACUAAAUGUUGAAGCGAUGAACAGCAAAUUCCUUCAUAAAGGUUUGCAGGAAGCCUUUAAAGGACAGUACAAAAAGAAUAACCACUUGGCAUAAGGUCAGUAGUGCUUUGAUUAUCCCUUAUAAUACAAAAAUAUUUACUCACAAGUCUUUAAAUAUUGUGAAUUAUAUGCGCCUCAAAAGAAGAGUAAAUAAGGCAUACUAAAAUACAUUAACACCACUAAUUAUAGGAAACGUGUGUGUUGCACAUGGAAGAGUAUUACAAAUAAUUUUUUUUUUCUUAGCUGUAAUACAAGCUGUUCUAUUAAGAGAGCAUUCA
rnacentral:lncRNA from 1 species